rnacentral:rRNA from 1 species
GAUGAACGCUGGCGGCGUGCCUAAUACAUGCAAGUCGAGCGAACAGACAAGGAGCUUGCUCCUCUGACGUUAGCGGCGGACGGGUGAGUAACACGUGGAUAACCUACCUAUAAGACUGAGAUAACUUCGGGAAACCGGAGCUAAUACCGGAUAAUAUAUUGAACCGCAUGGUUCAAUAGUGAAAGACGGUUUUGCUGUCACUUAUAGAUGGAUCCGCGCCGCAUUAGCUAGUUGGUAAGGUAACGGCUUACCAAGGCAACGAUGCGUAGCCGACCUGAGAGGGUGAUCGGCCACACUGGAACUGAGACACGGUCCAGACUCCUACGGGAGGCAGCAGUAGGGAAUCUUCCGCAAUGGGCGAAAGCCUGACGGAGCAACGCCGCGUGAGUGAUGAAGGUCUUCGGAUCGUAAAACUCUGUUAUUAGGGAAGAACAAAUGUGUAAGUAACUAUGCACGUCUUGACGGUACCUAAUCAGAAAGCCACGGCUAACUACGUG